UACGUAGGGUGCAAGCGUUGUCCGGAAUUAUUGGGCGUAAAGAGCUCGUAGGCGGUUUGUCGCGUCUGCUGUGAAAACUCAGGACUUAACCCUGAGCCUGCAGUGGGUACGGGCAGACUAGAGUGUGGUAGGGGAGAUCGGAAUUCCGGGUGUAGCGGUGGAAUGCGUAGAGAUCCGGAAGAACACCGGUGGCGAAGGCGGCCCGCUGGGCAGGAAGGCUCGCAAGAGCCGGCUGACACUGAGCGCGACGAGCGUGGGGAGCGAACAGG
rnacentral:rRNA from 1 species